GAUGAACGCUGGCGGCGUGCCUAAUACAUGCAAGUCGAGCGAAUGGAUUAAGAGCUUGCUCUUAUGAAGUUAGCGGCGGACGGGUGAGUAACACGUGGGUAACCUGCCCAUAAGACUGGGAUAACUCCGGGAAACCGGGGCUAAUACCGGAUAACAUUUUGAACCGCAUGGUUCGAAACUGAAAGGCGGCUUCGGCUGUCACUUAUGGAUGGACCCGCGUCGCAUUAGCUAGUUGGUGAGGUAACGGCUCACCAAGGCAACGAUGCGUAGCCGACCUGAGAGGGUGAUCGGCCACACUGGGACUGGGACACGGCCCAGACGCCUACGGGAGGCAGCAGUAGGGAAUCUUCCGCAAUGGACGAAAGUCUGACGGAGCAACGCCGCGUGAGUGAUGAAGGCUUUCGGGUCGUAAAACUCUGUUGUUAGGGAAGAACAAGUGCUAGUUGAAUAAGCUGGCACCUUGACGGUACCUAACCAGAAAGCCACGGCUAACUACGUGCCAGCAGCCGCGGUAA
rnacentral:rRNA from 1 species